rnacentral:rRNA from 1 species
CAGUCGCCACGGGAAUACGGAGGGUGCAAGCGUUAAUCGGAAUUACUGGGCGUAAAGCGCACGCAGGCGGUCUGUCAAGUCAGAUGUGAAAUCCCCGGGCUUAACCUGGGAACUGCAUUUGAAACUGGCAGGCUAGAGUCUUGUAGAGGGGGGUAGAAUUCCAGGUGUAGCGGUGAAAUGCGUAGAGAUCUGGAGGAAUACCGGUGGCGAAGGCGGCCCCCUGGACAAAGACUGACGCUCAGGUGCGAAAGCGUGGGGAGCAAACAGGAUUAGAGACCCCUGUAGUCCCUGUCUCUUAUAC